GACAGAGGGGGCAAGCGUUGCUCGGAAUCACUGGGCGUAAAGGGCGCGUAGGCGGGAUGGCAAGUCGGUCGUGAAAUCCUUCGGCUCAACCGAAGAACGUCGGCCGAUACUGCCGUUCUUGAGGGAUGCAGAGGAGAUUGGAAUUCCCGGUGUAGCGGUGAAAUGUGUAGAGAUCGGGAGGAACACCGGUGGCGAAGGCGGGUCUCUGGGCAUCUCCGGACGCUGAGGCGCGAAAGCGUGGGGAGCAAACGGG
rnacentral:rRNA from 1 species